UGAGCGAUGAAAGGUUCGGGAUAUAUUCCAGCUAUGUUAAUAGGCAGCUUGUUGGUUUGCUUACAGAAUCCUGAGCUCAGACCUAAAUUCUUUUGACUUGUGAUUCAGAAGCAGGAAGGAUUGCGUGGGAAUAAUGAAGUGGAAAAGCCAAGAAUGGGAUAAAUACUGGUGUUUGUCUCCACUAAAAGGAGGGGGCCGAAUUGGUUGCUAUGGUAGAUCAUCUUCAAGUACUGGCUAGUUUGGAAGGGGGAAGACUAGCCAACAUAGAUUUUCAUACUGCACCAUCACUAUGGUAUCUGGGCACCAUGGAAUGGAGAAAAACAGACAAAAUGAGGAUUAAUGUCUCCCCCCUUCCUUCUAAC